GAGAGGUCGGCUCUAAUCCCAUCAUCUAUUAUCCAAACACAAGACUACGGAGGGGUGGCUGCGUUGGUGGCUCCCUGCUCCGGAUUGGUUCUGGGUCAGAUCAUUAACACUGGCUGGCUCGGUUCCUACAACCUUUUCAACUCAUGAAUCAUAGAAUGUUAAACCCAUUGUCUUCGGACUUGAAACUAAAUACAACUUUUGA
rnacentral:misc_RNA from 1 species